AAACCUUUCUCCCUAAUUUCAAACCGCCCCAAACCCUAGCCGCCGCUCAACAACGACAGAAACCACCGUGACCAUCAAUUCUCACCGUUAAUAGCGCCUUCGAUCGCCGAUUCGGAAUCUCAAACUUCAGGUUUUGGUGCGCGAGUGCCGUAGAUCGACGAUUCAGCUUCUAUUUACAAAAACGAUACGGGAUGACGAAAAGAGGUCGACCAUUCAAAACCCAACCAACGCAGAGCGAAGCCAAGGCAUAUAGAGACGUACUUUGGCGAGAGGGAGAAAGAUUGGGAGUACGGACUCAGCGCCAAAGGGACAAAGAGCUUGGAAUGUUGCGAAUAAAGUUUGCAACGGCUCUGCUUACUUCUCUACAUAACUCCAAAGGUGCAACCAACCAAACGCAAGCCACCAGACAUUGCAUAGAUAGGCUGUCAAAGUUCAGCUUCGAAAAAUGGGUCGAGAAUUAUGGCUAGAGUGA